rnacentral:rRNA from 1 species
AGAGUUUGAUCAUGGCUCAGAUUGAACGCUGGCGGCAGGCCUAACACAUGCAAGUCGAACGGUAACAGGAAGAAGCUUGCUUCUUUGCUGACGAGUGGCGGACGGGUGAGUAAUGUCUGGGAAACUGCCUGAUGGAGGGGGAUAACUACUGGAAACGGUAGCUAAUACCGCAUAACGUCGCAAGACCAAAGAGGGGGACCUUCGGGCCUCUUGCCAUCGGAUGUGCCCAGAUGGGAUUAGCUAGUAGGUGGGGUAACGGCUCACCUAGGCGACGAUCCCUAGCUGGUCUGAGAGGAUGACCAGCCACACUGGAACUGAGACACGGUCCAGACUCCUACGGGAGGCAGCAGUGGGGAAUAUUGCACAAUGGGCGCAAGCCUGAUGCAGCCAUGCCGCGUGUAUGAAGAAGGCCUUCGGGUUGUAAAGUACUUUCAGCGGGGAGGAAGGGAGUAAAGUUAAUACCUUUGCUCAUUGACGUUACCCGCAGAAGAAGCACCGGCUAACUCCGUGCCAGCAGCCGCGGUAAUACGGAGGGUGCAAGCGUUAAUCGGAAUUACUGGGCGUAAAGCGCACGCAGGCGGUUUGUUAAGUCAGAUGUGAAAUCCCCGGGCUCAACCUGGGAACUGCAUCUGAUACUGGCAAGCUUGAGUCUCGUAGAGGGGGGUAGAAUUCCAGGUGUAGCGGUGAAAUGCGUAGAGAUCUGGAGGAAUACCGGUGGCGAAGGCGGCCCCCUGGACGAAGACUGACGCUCAGGUGCGAAAGCGUGGGGAGCAAACAGGAUUAGAUACCCUGGUAGUCCACGCCGUAAACGAUGUCGACUUGGAGGUUGUGCCCUUGAGGCGUGGCUUCCGGGGCUAACGCGUUAAGUCGACCGCCUGGGGAGUACGGCCGCAAGGUUAAAACUCAAAUGAAUUGACGGGGGCCCGCACAAGCGGUGGAGCAUGUGGUUUAAUUCGAUGCAACGCGAAGAACCUUACCUGGUCUUGACAUCCACGGAAGUUUUCAGAGAUGAGAAUGUGCCUUCGGGAACCGUGAGACAGGUGCUGCAUGGCUGUCGUCAGCUCGUGUUGUGAAAUGUUGGGUUAAGUCCCGCAACGAGCGCAACCCUUAUCCUUUGUUGCCAGCGGUCCGGCCGGGAACUCAAAGGAGACUGCCAGUGAUAAACUGGAGGAAGGUGGGGAUGACGUCAAGUCAUCAUGGCCCUUACGACCAGGGCUACACACGUGCUACAAUGGCGCAUACAAAGAGAAGCGACCUCGCGAGAGCAAGCGGACCUCAUAAAGUGCGUCGUAGUCCGGAUUGGAGUCUGCAACUCGACUCCAUGAAGUCGGAAUCGCUAGUAAUCGUGGAUCAGAAUGCCACGGUGAAUACGUUCCCGGGCCUUGUACACACCGCCCGUCACACCAUGGGAGUGGGUUGCAAAAGAAGUAGGUAGCUUAACCUUCGGGGGGGCGCUUACCACUUUGUGAUUCAUGACUGGGGUGAAGUCGUAACAAGGUAACCGUAGGGGAACCUGCGGUUG